rnacentral:rRNA from 1 species
AUGCUCCUACGAGUGAUACAUAAAGUCGUCAAGAGGCUGUCGGCCUGGCUAGCUACUUUUCUUUCAUGGGGAGGCAGGCUUAUGUUAAUCAACUCGGUGCUUGCCGGCAUUCUGAGCUACUUCAUGACUUGCUUCCCAUGGCCAAAGGAGUCCAUCAAUAACCUGGAAGGACUCCUGUGUGCCUUCUUCUGGCAAGGAAAGAGCACAACCUCGGGCGGACACUGUCUUGUGGCUUGGGACAGAGUUAUCCAUCCACGAUGCGCGGCUGGUUUGGGAGUCAGGGAUCUAUCAGCACACAACCAAGCCAUGAUGUGUAAGCUUGUGGCCAAAGUUCUUCAGUUUUCAGACAUACCCUGCUAUCAAUGGCUGGCUUCGCAAUACUGUAGAAAUAACUUACCCAGUGGCAACAAUACGAGAGACAUAGCUUUCUGGAGAGGGCUCAAAACUUAUAUUCCGCUGGUCUUGUUUUCCUCUUGCUGCUCGCUUGGCUCUGGGGCUCUUGUUUCCUUUUGGCAAGAUCAGUGGCUCGAGGUUGGAAGGCUGAUGUUUGUGCUGCCAGUCUUAUACUCAUUUGCCAAGGAUAAGCUAUGUUCAGUCCAGUCGCAAAUAUCCCAGGAUGGUUGGGAUAUACAGCUGCACCCAAAUCUCUAG